rnacentral:misc_RNA from 1 species
GAAAUGCGAUAAGUAAUGUGAAUUGCAGAAUUCAGUGAAUCAUCGAAUCUUUGAACGCACCUUGCGCUCCUUGGUAUUCCGAGGAGCAUGCCUGUUUUAGUGUCAUGGAAUUCUCAACUCUAUUUGCUUUUGUGAAUAGAGCUUGGAUUUGGAGGUUUAUUGCUGGUACUUGUGAUCGGCUCCUCUUGAAUGCAUUAGCUCGAACCUUUGCGGAUCAGCUAUCGGUGUGAUAAUUGUCUACGCCGUUGCAGUGAAGCAUAUCAAUGGGCUCGGCUUCCAAUCGUCCUUUACUGGACAAUGACUUUGACCUUUGACCUCAAAUCAGGUAGGAUUACCCGCUGAACUUAAGC